AUUUACUUGGCUUUUGGAGUGCUUUUUAAAAAGCCACCUUCCUGGGCCCUUGAACUCUUCAUGGACGGGGGAAAGAGAAGUUUCUUCACCAAACUGCCUGAGGCUGGGUGGUUUGGAUUUCUUUAAAAGAGCUGUUGUUUCCUUCCUGCUGUCAUUUCUGCAUCUAAUCAUGGAGGCAGCUCCUGAUCAAAGAGCAUUGUACUGGUGAGGCACUCAUUCUCCCACAUAUGGGCUGACCCCCUGGUGCUGAGUGAGUGAGGUGAGCCUGGUCAGAAUGGGGUUGGGGGCACCAAGAAAGAGAUAGCUCAAUGUAGGGCCCUUGUGUCCAUGCAAGUUUCAUUCACAUCCCCAAAGCAGUGUCAAGCCCCUGAAGCCACAUCAACUCUCCAAUACUAAGCCCCUAGGUUCUUUGAGCAAAGUAGUUGACUAAGAACCAAGAAGAAGAUGAAGAAUAAACAUUAACAAUGGCUGAAAAUUGAGGUUUUAGGUUUUUUACGAAAUACAAAAAUGCCAAUCACAUUUGUAUCUGCUGGGGUUUUAUCAGAAAUCUUCCAGGGGAACUGUGAUGGUUAAUAUUGAGUGUCAACUUGAUUGGAUUGAAGGAUGCAAAGUAUUGUUCCUGAGUGUGUUUGUGAGGGUGUUGCCAAAGGAGGUAACAUUUGAGUCAGUGCACUGGGAGAGGCUAACCUACCCUCAAUCUGGUUGGGCACCAUCUAAUCAGCUGCCAGUGUGGCUAGAAUAAAAGCUGGCCGAAGUUGGAAAAUAAGAUAAGAACACGUGUUGAGUCUGCCGGCCUUCACUUUUCCCCUGUGCUGGAUGCCUUCUGCCCUUGAAUAUCAGACUCCAAGUUCUUCAGCUUUUGGACUCUUGGACUUACACCAGUGUUUUGCCAGGGGCUCUUAGAUCUUCGGCCACAGACUGAAGGCUGCACUGUCAGCUUCCCUACUUUUGAGGUUUUUGGACUCAGACUGGCUUCCUUGCUGCUCAGCUUGCAGACGGCCUAUUGUGGGACUUCACCUUGUGAUCAUGAAGUAGAAGUGAUUAUCCACAUUCCAUAGAAGAAGAAGCGGAGCUCAGAAUGGUCUCAUCUCCAGGCAGCUGUCCCUCUUCUGGAUCUCUGGCAACUCCAGUUCACAGCACCCUUUCUCCUCCUAGCCUAGGAUCCAGUGCCUUUAGCAGCCCAGUCAUGCGACUCUCUCACACCAGCCUGGCACCUGGGUGUCGCCCGAAAGCCUCCUCAGAGCUGUCUUUGAUGAGCACCACCUGCUGCCUGUCAGUCCAACUGCGGUGGAGAUGGUUGGGGUCAAAUCCCCAUUGUCAAGGUGAUAGGAGAGACCUCAGUGUGCUUUGUGGAUGCAGAGGAUGAAAAUCAGCAAAACUGAAUGAGCUGUGUGCUGUUCUUAGAGGAAGCACUAGGUAAACUAUUCCAGUACAAUUCUGUUUAUUCUUUUCUGUGCAAACCCAAAUUUAGUGUACCCAAUACACAUGCAUAUGAAUACAUACCACAUAGAAAUGCACAGACAUCACACACACCCACAACACUCAGACACAGGGAUGUGAGUGUAUGCAUGAACACAUACUCACACUCACACACCAUUGUAAGGCUUGUCCUCAUCCUAAGAGUUUAACGUAAUAGCUUUUUUAAAAAAAAUUGAAUAAAUGAAUGAAUGAAAUCAUUAUUUUAUCUGUAAUCAUUUAACAGAGGAUGGAGAAUAAUAGCCACCCACUCUCAACCAUCCCAGUUUUAAACAUUUAUUAAUAUUGGGGUUUAUUUUUAAAAGAAAUUCAAAAACUUAGGGUAAAAUGUUCCCCCAAAACUUUUACUGUUGCCUGGGUUUAUUAUUUUUCAGAAUUCAAUAAAUUUUUCAGAAUUGUUUUUCCUUUAAAGAGUGGAAACUUCUGAAGAAAAUAGCCAUGUUACCAAUGUCGUCACGCUGAAGCCACAGAGUCAAGUUAGUGGCAAUGGCCGUGGACUGGGAGCCAAUUGAACUGGGUUUCAAUCCUGCCUUUUUUUUUAUUAUUUUUAAAUGCAACUGUAUGCAAAUUGCUUCUUCUCCCUGAGUCUCCAUUUUCUCAUUUAUAAUUUGGGGAGCGGGGUAGAGAGUCUUUACUUAAACAUAGGGCAUUACCCCUCCAUACAUCCAUAUUUAUGUGCCCUCUUAAGAUCCUUCUAAGAUAUUUUUAAAAACAAAGGCUAAGCUCUUUAACCAUAAGAACCCACUGUGGAUGCAGGACAUCAAUACAUUUCCAGGGGGGAAGACAUUGGGUCAUUGGGUAGGUGCUGACUGAUCAAACAAGGUGGAGGAAGCCACAGGAGACAGUAACAAAGAAAUAAAUACAGCCAUGCACCUUACUGAAUCUUGGAGAGACUUGGGAUUCUGGAACACCAGUUAUAAUUAAGCAUCGGAGCAAGCCACAGAUUGAUUCUGGACUGGCAUGAUUUUGCCCCACCCUCAGGGGACAUUUGUCAAUGUUUGGAGACAUCUUGAGUAUCAUGACUGGGAGGUGCUCCUGACACCUGGGGGUUAGAAGCCAGAGAUGCUGCUAAACAUCCUACUAUGCACAGGGCAGCCCCCUUGACAAAGAGUCAUACAGCUCAAAAUUGUCAAAAAUCUUAAAGUUAAGAAACUCCACUCUACACCCAAGAGUUGAUCUCCCACUCUGAAACCUUCUCCAUAUUUGAAGACUAACAGAUAUCCAUCUACCUCACUGUUAUGGGCUGAAUUUUUCUCCUCAAAAUUUAUAUGUUGAAGACCUAAUCCCCAGUACCUCAGAAUGUGACUGCAUUUAGAGAUGGGGCCAUUAAAGAAGUAACUAAGUUAAAAUGAGGCCUUUAGAGUAAGCCCUUAUCUGAUCUGACUCAUGUCCUUAUAAGAAGAGGAGAUUAGGACACACAGAGAGACACCAGCGAUGCACAUGCACAGAGAAAAGUCGUAUAAGGACACAGAGAGAAGGCAGCCAUCCGCAAACCAUGGAGGAAGGCCUCAAAAGAAAUCAACUCUGCCAACACCUUGAUCUUAGACUUCCAGCCUCCAGAACUGUGAGAAAAUGAAUUUCUGUUGUUUAAGCCAUCCAGUCUGUAAUACUUUAUUAUAACAGCCCAAGAAAACUAAUACACCCACUAUGCAAGUAAUGAGAGGGUUCUUCUCCAAAGAAAUGGGAUGAACACAGAGAAAAGACCUCCAAUCUGGUAAUUAUGGGUCCCCAGAAUUAUUGCCCACUCCCCUGCAUCACAUUAAAGGGAACUGCCAACCUACAAUCACUGUUCCCCACCCACCCACCCCCACCUCACACAUACACAACACACAGCUCAAGAUCAGCUUAUUGUCUGGCUCUUAAAUGUGAUGUAACACCCAAAGAUCUCUGAGGAACAUCUACAACCCAAAAGAGAGAAACCAAGAUUAACAAGCAGCAUAUGCAACGUUGGAAAGAAGAGAAAUAAUUUGGAAACACAAUUUAACCUUUAAAAACUCUUUAAUAAAUAUUCUUAGAAAGAGUAGUAAAAAAAAAUAUUGCAUCAACAAAGUACAACUAGCUAACAAGGAAAAACUAUUGAAAAAUAAAUAUAUGAGCCCGAAAUUCUAAUAGUAGGUAAAAUAUAAUAAAACCAAUGUUGUAGAACAAAGGCAAGAAGAUGUAAGAAAAUGAGAAAGGUAAGAUGUGUUGAGGAUCAGUCCAAGAGGCCCCACAUCUGAUCAAUAGGAGUGACAAAAAGAGAAAAACAAAAAGAAAGAAAUCAAAGAAUUAUCGCAAAGGAUUGUCCCAGAGUCAAAGGACAUGAGUAUCCAAAUUAAGAAGCCAAUCAAGUACCCAAGUGCUCAAGUUGACAACUCACAUAUGUGCAUACACAUGCAGACAUACACACACACAUCUAGACCCAUCACUAUAAAACUUCAAUACAUCCAUAAUAGAAGAUACUGAGAAGGUUUAGCAGGAAAGAUAGAAAUGUAAAAGAUACCUGUGAAAACCAAGAACUUCAACCAGCAUCAGACCUCUCAUCAUCAGCCACACUAGGUCAGAGAAGAUAUAUUCUGCACAUGAAGUUGCCAGAUGCCCCCAGGAGUUCUGGGAUUCAUGCCUUGGGUGGUUGGCUUGAAGUCCUUGGCCAAGCCCUGAUUCCAGGAGGGAUUCCUGACAAGUGAAUUGCUCCUGCUGCCCAGUGCCAUAUUUAUUUCACAGAAUCCUAUGAGAUUGGGUGGCCAAAAUGGCAGCGAUAUGAUGAUUUUAAGUGACUCUCAAAUACAUCACACCCAGGACAAGUUCAGUGCUCUGAGUACUGAUGAUGGUCCAUCACUGAACCUUGGCCUGAACUAUAUGUGUGAGCCCCUAGGUGAGCUCUCAUCUGGAUUUGUUCUGUAGUUUCACUUCUGAUCUUCAGCACCCAAGUGCAGCUGGGGUGGCAACAGGCAUCCUUUACUCCAUUUGACUUUACCACUGAACCCAGGGUGGUCAUCCCACUGUCCCAUUCAUCUAACAGGCAGUCUUUUGACAAUGGCUACAUCUUUCUCUACCUGGUGCUUUCAAGAUCUUUGCUCUGAAACAGCAAGGGGCUUUUCCAAUUGAUGUCCUCCCCUGCCUCCACAGAUGUGGGGAUAUCAAGCACUCCUGGAUCAGUUGAAGCCAUUCCUGAUGAGAGAUGUUCCUUGUGCCAAUGAGGCUGCUCUUCUCAUUCAUUUAGUCCUCUCCACUGGUGGCAGUGAGUGGAAGGCAGGAGUGCAGUUAACAUGAAAAGAAUCACUGUCUAGGAAUGUAGUAAUUACAGCAUAGAGUUUAAGAGAAGAUAGAGUUGGAAGACAUGCUCUAUGUUCAGAUUAUAAACAGUAAAUUCAACAUAAUCAGAAAACAAAUUAUUGUUCACAUUUUCUUGCAUACUCUGGAUAAGACUUGCAUUUUUGGUCAUCAACAAUGAAGCACAGCAACAACUUUUGAGAAAGUCAUUGAAAGCCAGUAUUCAUGGUGCAGCAUCAUCUAUAACAAUAUAACCAGACUUCAAUAAAUUGUAUUGCAAAAGUAGUACAGAUCUAUAUUGUUCAUUGUAAACAAGUUCCCAAGAACUUGGCAUUGUGAGUAAUGACAGUAUUGCUACUUUUCUUCAUGACUGGAGAUAUGGAAUUAGCCAAGAACACAGAGAUAGUGCCUGGACAUUAUGAAGAAAGAAUUUUCACAUGCACUGAUUAAGUAAUGAAUAUGUAAGUACCUCAUCUGUAUCCAUUAUUCUGAAUGACUUUCAAUAAAACACUAUACCCCACGUGGGUCCAUGAAUUUUGUAAUACUUUCUUAGUCAAAUUAUUUAUUUAGAAAAAGGUCCCACAAAAAAAUAUUUAUCUGAGGCCCCACACAUCUAGGAGCAACCCUGUUGUUAGGGAAUUACUUAAGGGUGUGCCUCAGCCCAGCAAGUAAAUCAAGAAAACAGAAGACUUGGGGUCCAGGAAACAGGAGAUUCAACCUAGAAAAGCAAAAAAGGCAAAUCUCAAGAUAAAAAAUAUAAACCCCAGUCUAGAUGUCAACCAGUGUUGAUCAGAAGGGAAGAACAGAGUUUCUGGGGGGAGAGUAGAGAGUCCCUGUGGAAUGGAGAGUUACUGAUCUUAACAGUUUCAAGGUCAAGCUCUUAGACUGCACAUGUACCCUAAAACUUAAAGUAUAAUAAUAAUAAAAUAAAGAAUAGCUAAUAUAAUUUUAACAUUUUGAAAUAAGUAAAAGAUAAGGCAAAAUUGCUAUGAAGAAAAAUAAAGGCAAUUAGAAACUCUUGGAAAAACAAAAUGCUGUACAAAACAGGAAACUAAUCAAUGUAUUCCACUUGAUUCUACAGUAAACCACAUUUACUUAGCUAAACACUGUUAAUUGAUUUUAAGCUUUUAUACACAACCUAUAAACAAGGCAUGAGACACAAUUGUGCUCAUAAAUAAAAUGUAAAUGUCAUCAACUUUUAACAACAGAGAGAUAAAAAUUCAAAUGAUAAAGACUGGGAAGUGAGAAGUAAUGCACAGGGGUGAAGGAAAAGUUGGAUGGACUCAUCUUUCAAAGUUGUGAAAAUCAAGGAUUCAUCAAAAUGUGGAAUCAAGGAUUACAGCCCAAUGACAAAUGUAGAAAUAAAAUUGUAUACGUUUUACAGUUACAAAGUUAUCCCAUGGAGAAACUAAAUGUAGUGAUAAGACUAUAUUGGGAGGAUGGGUAGAGAAAUGGGGAGUGUAAUAAACUAAAUACUCAUAUAUUAGAGCAGUACAUACUAGACAACAUAUAACAUUGAAUUCCUUGAAUUUAUCAGGAUAUUAGCUUCUAGGGAAUGGAAUUUGAGACACAGUGGGGUAGGAAAUUGCUACUUUUCAUUAUAAAUAUUUGAUUUUAAAAGUAUAUACAGACGUUUCUUUCAUAAAAUUAAAUUCUAAAUACAAUUUUUUUAAAAGGUGGCUAUACAAGAUUAUUUCUAAGGUUUCUUUUAUAUCUAAAACUCAUAGAAAGUGCUCCCAAACCUGAGUCUACUCAGGAGGAACCCUGGAACUUUUCCCUUCAGAAAGUCUGGUAUAUAUUCAAGCUGACUGUCUGAUCAGGAGCCAGUUCAUGCCACUAGGAACCUCACAAACAUUUUGAUAAAUGUCAAAUUUUCACUCCUGACCUUAUUUUAUCUUCUCAACAGCCCUCUGAAGCAAUUAUUAUGAUCAUCUGCACUUCAAAAAUGGGAUUCAAUGGGACUAAAUUAAUUGUCCUGAAUGACAUAAGUUUUAAAUUGUUAGAAUGAGAUUAAAUUCAUGGCCUCACCACACUAAGUCAUUUUCUCUUCCAUCACAUUACGCUUUUUGUUGAGCAGAAAGAGAAAGUAAGAACAAUUAUCUGCCCAAGAGCCAAUCCUUCAGUAAGAUGUCGAUAUAAAUGCACUGCCCUGAGGUUAUAGGGUAACUCCUUUGGGAAUCUGAUGGAGCAGGCUAGCAAACUACAGCCUCCUUCUCCACUUGGGGUCAUGAAUAUCAGCCAUCUGACAACACACUUCACCAAGGCUGUGAGGCUUAUAAUGACCUGGAAAGACUCAUCCUAAGUGAUUGGCACCAACACAGUGUGCAGCAUCCAAAGGGCACUGGAUGAGACCAUUUAGACCCCAACUGAGCACUGUUCCUUAUCUUUGACCCACUCUCAUUCUUGACGUCUUUUGCAAGUCUCAAGUCGUGAUGAGACACUCCUGCAUUUCUCUCUCGUGCUGCAGUGAGAAUGCUUUCAGCACAGGCAGCCAUUCAGAGUGGGAACUCCAGGAACACUCUUGAGAUGCCACUCACACCUGCCAAAGAGAACUCCCAAUACCUGUCUUCCCAGAAUGUGCUGUCCACUCAAGUUACCUGCAUCAAACUCAUGCUUGGUGCUGCUGGGCUGCAGAAUUUCUAAAGAAGUUGUUUACUGGAAAUAUUAUCACACAGUCCUUUACCUGCAGAAACUCCAUGAAACACUGGACAGAGCUUACAUAAAUUUCCACUGAAAAUAUUACUUACUCCAAGUGGAUCUGCCACAUGGGUAAUUGCAGCCUCGUAGCAACCUUGUGAAGUCAGUGUGGUCCCCCUGGCUCCCACAUGGUCCCUCUGGCUUCCUUUUCCCUCCUGGGAUGCUGGCUGCUCAGAGGUGGACUUCAUGGUUCUCCCCCAGGUGGGCCAGAACAGCAUUGCCUCCUCAGAUCUCUUCCUUCUUUCCCCUUAUCUCAGAGCUACGCUUAGGAGACAGACCAGUGACUUGAUAACUAACAACACCAGAUGGUAGGUAUUAUUGUAUUGCCCCUCCCGAUAACAUGCUUGCAUUUUGCAGGUGAUCUCUGGUGCCUAAAUUUAAAGGCUUGGCAGAUGGAGGAAUGUGUGGGCCCUAUGUGACAUAGGCCUCUUAGAAGUCCUAUGGUUAAUUGCCCUGCUGUAGAAAUAUGCAACAUUUUUCUUUAGACACCUAUAUGUUUAUCAGUAUUAUAUUUUGGUAUUAUUUUACUUUUAUAGUCAAGUCUUAUUGGUCAUAGUAUGAUCCACUUUCUCAAAAAUAUACUGUUCAGUAAAAUAAACUCAGAGUAAUGAUAGAAAUCACCCCCUAACUCCAAAGAAAUAUAUAUACAAAGUUUCCUUGAUAUGUAGACUUCUAUUUUUAAUUCAUGUUGUUUUUGAUAUUCAAAAGAGACAUAAAGGAAAUACUUUUAAAGGCUCAAAGUCAUACUUAAGAAAAAACAUGAAAUAAAAAGGUAGCAAAAUAAGUAUGAAGAAAAGAGCAACUUACAUAUAAAUCAUCUAGAAUCAAUUUUUAUACUAGACUCAUAUAUUCUAAAUGAGAAAAAAUCUACAAUGCUUUAAAUAAACACACAGGCUUUCUCCUUUCAGAAGGUAAAAUAUAUAAACUUAGCCUAAAUUUCUUGAAUGGAUAUGCAAUAAACUAUUUAUAACAUCUUCCCUGUCCUACUUAACUUAUGACUAAUCCUAAACAAUUAGAGAGUCAGAUGGCUGAGUAUUUAAAGAAGCAAACAUCUCAAAUAAACAAAGGGUCAUUUCUACCUGAAAUCCAGAGCCCCACAUCCCAUAUAGCUAUGGGUCCACUUAGCAAUAGCUACAAAUGGAAGCUGCAGAAGUAAUUCUGCAGAAUCCUGCAACCUAGAAGUUAGGAAAGAUGAGAGUCCCUUAAGAUCUGGAUAGUGUAGUCAGCCUGUGGGGCCAAGGAGGACUCCCCAGGUACCUGUAAUAGCUUCAAAAGCAAUUUUCAGAUUUCUGUAAAUUUCAUGAAAUUCUUCCCAGGUGGACCCUCCUCUGGAAAAUUGGAAAACAAAAACUUACACCCACUCACUGCUGAUUCUUUACAAUGCUCACAUCACUAAAAUCUCUCAAUCCCCCCACGAUAAAGCUUUUUCUAAAGCGAGGCUGGGUCUGCCCCCAAAGCCUAUCAUUUCACUAACAUUUAAAAAUAUUUUCUCAACAUUCUCAGGCAGUGUUCAAAAUCGGCCUGAUAUAUAUAGAGCCUCCUUUGUGGAAUAACAAGAUUAUUUUUAUCAUUUUCUGAUUCUCAAAAAUCUGACCUGUCACCAAAGAACUUCUAAAAAUAUCAGGAUGAUAAUGAUAUCCUUCGUCAUAUCCUCCUGGCUUACGGCUGCAUUUGUAGAGCUGGGUUUUUAUUUAUUUUCUGAGGGUCCUCUCUGAUCACAGUACUCAUCAUUUCAUUGCUUCAAGAAGAUGUGAGACAGAACAGCUAUCUUGGGAAGGUGGUGGAUUUUGUUUCCACCUUUAAAGACAAGGAGUUUUUGUGCAAUAUUCAGUUCAAUUCACUCUCUGCCUAUCUUUUAAAUCUCAUAUUUUUGUUGGAAAUAUAUUGGAAUAGAUCCUAGAAAACAAAUGCUGACUGAGGAGAAGCAUUUGUUUUUUUCCCACAGCCGAUUCAAUUCAGCAGCAGCAUUACUGAGUGCCUACCAUGUGCCAGGAAUAUAAAGAUGAAUAGAAUAUUCUUUGCCCUCAAAUAGCUCAUAGCCUACAGGACAGACAGUCCCAUUAAGAAAUAACAAAGUAUCCUGUGAGAAGAGCUAUAGUCUUAUUGCUGUUUAUAUAAACUUACAAGAAUGGGAACACCAAAAAGGGAACUACAAAUAUGGUCUAGAGAAAUCCGAAAUGUAAUGGGAAACCAAAGAUAUUUUCAAGAUAGAUGCUGACAAUUUCUUCCUCGGAGAUUGUGUCCCAUUCUUGAUAUAUCUGGGGUUGAAAAAAAAAAGACCUUGUUUUAGAGAAUUGUGAGCAGCAUCUGCUCCUUGGGUAGAAUUUAGAAAGUAUCCUUGGGAAUAUAUUGGUUUUGGUAAGUCUUUUUCAGUCAUGUGUAGAUAGAAGUACCUACUCACUGGCCUUGCAGGAGCCCUGGACAAAAGGAAGCUUCCAACGGCAGAUGGUUCACCUGGAGAAGGUUCACUACUCUAGCCGUGACAAAUUCUCUCUUCACAUUGGGCACGCUGUAUCAAUUAUCUUGUCAACUGUUAUAUUGUCUAUCGUGUCAUCAAUGGGUAUUUCCUUCUUUUGGCUGUAGAUUUGUGGGGGAUAAGAUGAAGACUUCCGUGCAUUAAGAACCCUGGACCCUUGUUCCAGUGGCAGCAGGCUGGGGCCACAGGAGAGACGGAACCUAUAGAGCACUGCCUUUAAAGGGACAUGAUGACAGAAUUCAGGAAUAGUGAUACAUGGUACCUUAUUUUAGGUUUUCCUUUCCUCCGUAUCAAAAUUUGUUAAAUACUAUUACCUCUUGUUGUUGCAUUGGUAAGCAUUGGAGAGUAAGGAGCAAGUACUGUAUUCUUGCUUUGGAGUAAAAUGGACUAAAAAAAGGCUAGCAAAUGAUCACAAGUGAUCGUGAAGAAGCUGGGAGCAGCAGACCAGAGCAAGAAGGCACACAGGGUAACCAGAAUGGACUUAGGGAACAUGUGGGCCCUCUCUGAGCAUUCUCAGGAAUAUUUAGGGAAGGAGGCAGGAUGACCCAUUGGCCUCAAUCAAUUGGACGUUAAAAGAAAGAGGUGCUGUUCCCCAACUCCUCCCAACCCUGACACAUGCCUUCACAUUGCAAAGGCUAAAAGAACUUUGGAAUAAUCUCCAUUUUUCAAGAAACAACAACAGUUCUGGGUUUUGAAGAAUGAGUAGAUGUUCACUGGGCGGAAGAGAGAAAACAAAUGAGUAAAGACUUUUAGGGAAAAACAAGCAUACGCUGGAAUGGCUAAAGCAGAAAUCUCAACCACAGUGUCAUGACUCAUGGAUCUGUUUCCUAUUCUAAGCCUGUCUGAGGUUCCACAUCCAAAUUGCCUUGCUUUUCUCUCUUGGCAGCAUGUGCCUUACAGAUAUGCAGCUUUCUACUGUCCCUAAUUGGCUAACCAGCCUUCCAUUUUUUUCCAACUUCCAAAAUUUUGGUUUUCUCUUUCAUCAUAUCUCCCCUCUCUUGUUCUUAUAGGUUCAUGUAUUUUAAAUUAUUUUACUGUGAGGUUUUGGACAAGAGUGGAGAUAAAUGCAUGUGUUCAAUCUGUGUUCUCCUUUCCCAGUUAUAUUUUAUUUAUCUAUUCAUUAUUGUUCCACGUAAUGGAGAAAAACAUGAUACCAGGAUCUUGAUUAGAAGUAGCACUCGAACCCUAAAAGGGCUUAUAAAAUCACAGACCCUCACUCAGGGUUAGAAUGAGCUGUAAAAGUCAACCUGUCUAAGCUCCCAUCAGAUGCUUAAUUCUGGAAACUCCUUUGCUUGCCUAUUAUAAAUUUAACUUAUUGAGUGAAAAUGUUGAAAAGCUGUGUUAUUAUUUCGCUUAUCAUCAUUCAUCAUGUUUAGUAAUUAUCAAAAUAGCUGCCACUUAUGAUGCACAUUCCAUACACACCACCCUGUGCUGAGGGUCAUUUAUGCCUCCCAACAGUUCUAUGAGGGAGGUGUUAUUCCACUGUCCCCACUCCCUGUUUUGCAGAGAAGGAAACUGGGAUUUAGCUCAGGUUUAACUCACUUCCCAGUCUCUUGUAGUUUGUCCAUGGCAGGCAGAGCCUAGUUUUAGACCACUAUCGGGUUCCAAAGCUUAUCCUCUCAGCUGUGAUGGUUUCCAGAUUUAGGACUAUGUGACUCUGAAAGAACUGCAUUGUUCUGCAGGGUGGCUGGCGUGUGCUUUCUUCUUUUCUCCACUGACAGCUUUAGUCGCUGAUGUUGUUGCCAUUGCCCACAUUUGAAUCCUCAGGGUUAUGACCCACUGUAGUCCCAGGCUGACUUCUGUCUGCUACCCAGAUGACUUUUUUUUUUUCAAUUGAUACAAAUUUAGGAAACAAAAAAUAAUUUUAAAAUUCAUUUUGCCCAAACAAUGCAGGUAAAUAUGUUGUCAAAAUGAUGUACAAUGCACUUUUAGGCAGUCUAUAAAUGGCACUGCAUUGAUUAUCAAUUACAUCCAUCAUAUCAAAUCACCAUUGUUAAUACAUUGAGUACAGUUGAAUUAAAAUGUUGACCAAACCAAAAAUUUCAGGUUUGGUGGGUUUGGUUUUUUGUCUGUUUGUUUGUUUGGUAAAACAACCACAUACUUUUUCCUGUCAAUUUCAGUGGUUGAGGGUCUACUGUUAAAAUAGGCAUAUAAAGAUAAACUACCCAUAACCCCAAAGCAGAUAAGACAGGACCAAGUCACAGCUCUGUGCUUGCUGCGUCUUUUGAGCAAUUCACCUAACCUCUCCAAGACACUGUUUCAAAAUCUGUAAGAAAGAACCCUAACACACAAUAGCAUUUUGAGUGCAACUGAGACAAUAUAUGUAUAAGUGGUCAGCACAGAGUUGGAGCUUAAUAAAAGCACGUUUACUAGCUUUAUCCAAGAGUCUCCAGCAAGUGUUGAAAAAAUACUUUUGGAAUAGAUUUGAUAAUGGGAGAUAGACAUUGAGAAUACAUGUAAACAAAUAGAAGAGCUUGGAUGCCUGAAAUCUCAUAUAUUCAUAAAGCAUCUCCAAGAUUCCCAGGGUUGGCCCCUCUAGUUCUGACAGCUAUACUAGUCAUGGGACUGGACUCAGAAACUCAGAAUUGCCAGCCCAUUUAACUGUGUCUUGAUCUACAAUGUUGUGUGAGGCACGCAGUGUUGCCUGUGACCUCCUAUACCUCCAUCGCUGCUAGAUGCAAACCCUGCUCAGAAAAACUAUGAACAUGCACAGUUCAGAAGAUAUGAGAAUUGUCUCCUAGAGUCACUAUGGGGGUCUUCUGAGGAUAACAAACACCAUGGGAAAGGCAACUUAUUAAGGUACAUAUUACAGUCUUCUAAUGUCUAAAGCCAGCUAGACAUACAUUUAAAUCCCAGCAGAAAUUCUCUGAAAGGUUUGCCUCCACCCUAGGUCUUCCAACAUUAGAAGAACUUCAGAGAGAAAGUAGGACAUUUUGUCUCUCUUGGGUAUUUGGGAAUCAAGGUGCAGACUU
rnacentral:lncRNA from 1 species